AACGAACGCUGGCGGCAGGCUUAACACAUGCAAGUCGAGCGCCCCGCAAGGGGAGCGGCAGACGGGUGAGCAACACGUGGGGAUCUGCCCAAUGGUACGGAGUAGCUCCGGGAAACUGGAAAUAAUACCGUAUGUGCCCGCAAGGGGAAAGAUUUAUCGCCAUUGGAUGAACCCGCGUCGGAUUAGCUAGUUGGUGUGGUAAAGGCGCACCAAGGCGACGAUCCGUAGCUGGUCUGAGAGGAUGAUCAGCCACACUGGAACUGAGACACGGCCCAGACUCCUACGGGAGGCAGCAGUGGGGAAUAUUGGGCAAUGGGCGCAAGCCUGAUCCAGCCAUGCCGCGUGAGUGAUGAAGGCCUUAGGGUUGUAAAGCUCUUUCGCCGACGAAGAUAAUGACGGUAGUCGGAGAAGAAGCCCCGGCUAGCUUCGUGCCAGCCGCCGCUGUAACAC
rnacentral:rRNA from 1 species